AGAACACCAACCCGCCAAGAAAACUGGAACGAAGAGGAGAAGAUGUGAUACGGGAACAUCGAGCCUAAACUGAGAGCAGCCGGAUGUGGAUCCCUGUGUUGGCGCGAGUGGCAGGAACCUCAAGUCUCUCCAAGUGCUCCGCCUGUCUUUGCUUUCCAACCCCACCGGUCCUCCAGAGCAUCACGUGAGAUGAGUGAAGUCAUCUGAUGCUUGUCUUUCUCCAUCCUGCUCAUUUCACUGAGCAUAAUACCCUCUAGCUCCAUCCGUG